CAAGUCGAACGAGGUGAUUGAAGCUUGCUUUGAGAACCGAGUGGCAAACGGGUGAGUAACGCGUAGACAACCUGCCGCAAGAUGGGGACAACAGUCCGAAAGGACUGCUAAUACCGAAUGUUGUCAGUUUCUCGCAUGAGAGACUGAUUAAGAUGGCCUCUACUUGUAAGCUAUCGCUUUGCGAUGGGUCUGCGUCUGAUUAGCUAGUUGGUGGGGUAACGGCCUACCAAGGCGACGAUCAGUAGCCGGUCUGAGAGGAUGAACGGCCACAUUGGAACUGAGACACGGUCCAGACUCCUACGGGAGGCAGCAGUGGGGAAUCUUCCGCAAUGGGCGAAAGCCUGACGGAGCAACGCCGCGUGAGUGAAGAAGGGUUUCGGCUCGUAAAGCUCUGCUGACGGGGACGAAUGUGCGAAAUGCGAAUAGUUUUUCGCAAUGACGGUACCCGUCGAGGAAGCCACGGCUAACUACGUGCCAGCCGCCGC
rnacentral:rRNA from 1 species